rnacentral:rRNA from 1 species
UACGGGGGGGGGCAAGCGUUGUUCGGAAUUACUGGGCGUAAAGGGCCAGUAGGCGGCCAACUAAGUCACACGUGAAAUCCCCAGGCUUAACCUGGGAACUGCGUGUGAUACUGGAUGGCUUGAAUUCGGGGAGAGGGAUGCAGAAUUCCAGGUGUAGCGGUGAAAUGCGUAGAUAUCUGGAGGAAUACCGGUGGCGAAGGCGGCAUCCUGGACCGACAUUGACGCUGAACGGCGAAAGCUAGGGGAGCGAAA